GGCCCAUUGGUCAAGUGGUCAAGACACCGCCCUUUCACGGCGAUAACAGGGGUUCGACUCCCCUAUGGGUCA
rnacentral:tRNA from 1 species